GACGAACGCUGGCGGCGUGCUUAACACAUGCAAGUCGUACGGUAAGGCCCUUUCGGGGGUACACGAGUGGCGAACGGGUGAGUAACACGUGAGUAACCUGCCCACAACUUUGGGAUAACGCUAGGAAACUGGUGCUAAUACUGGAUAUGUGCUCCUGCUGCAUGGUGGGGGUUGGAAAGCUCCGGCGGUUGUGGAUGGACUCGCGGCCUAUCAGCUUGUUGGUGGGGUAGUGGCCUACCAAGGCGGCGACGGGUAGCCGGCCUGAGAGGGUGACCGGCCACAUUGGGCCUGAGAUACGGCCCAGACUCCUACGGGAGGCAGCAGUGGGGAAUAUUGCACAAUGGGCGCAAGCCUGAUGCAGCAACGCCGCGUGCGGGAUGACGGCCUUCGGGUUGUAAACCGCUUUCAGCAGGGACGAAGCUUUUGUGACGGUACCUGCAGAAGAAGCACCGGCUAACUACGUG
rnacentral:rRNA from 1 species